UACGUAGGUGGCGAGCGUUGUCCGGAAUUACUGGGUGUAAAGCGCGUGUAGGCGGGAGGCCAAGUCUGUGGUGAAAUCGCUCGGCUUAACUGGGCGGGGUCCAUGGAAACUGGUCACCUGGAGGUCGGUAGAGGCAAGUGGAAUUCCCGGUGUAGUGGUGAAAUGCGUAGAGAUCGGGAGGGACACCAGUGGCGAAGGCGGCUUGCUGGGCCGGACCUGACGCUGAGACGCGAAGGCGUGGGGAGCGAACGGG
rnacentral:rRNA from 1 species